GUCUACAGUCAUACCACCCUGAACAUGCCCAAUCUGGUCUGAUCUUGGAAGCUAAGCAGGGUCAGGCCUUGUUAGUACUGGGAUGGGAGACUUUAUCAUGGAUGUGUGAAUAUGAAUU
rfam:Fukomys damarensis contig143586, whole genome shotgun sequence.